GACCACAAUUUUCUUCUGCAAAUACUGAAAGGCAAUUCUUUGCCCCUGUGCCACCAGCUGCGCGGAGAAGCACUUAAUUCCUGCGCUGGAUGGACGGUGAGCAGCCACCACCCCCGUGCUGAACGGAGCUCGGCGGGGAGCAGCGAGGGCACUGAGCUCUGCAGGAUGGCACGUGGGGUCUGGCAUGGGGGUGUUGGUGGGACAAUCGCUACAAGAAGAUGAGCUGGGUGCUGAGUUAGGGUGGGGACAUGAGCUGGAGCUCUUCCUCCUCAGCCUGGGCUGCCUCGCAAGCUGCCUUUGCUCUGCCUUUCUCAAGGGAACCUCAAGGAUGGUGAAACGACUCUAGAAAAUACAGUCUGAGGCAUUUUUAAAGAUGAGUCAGCUAGAACAUUGGUCAAACAUGGAUUAUGAUGAAAUUCUAGUUUCUUAUCAGAAAAAAAUCACUGCUGCAAUUUUAAUUUUUCAUUAGCGAUACCCAUACUACGUGGAUUCAUAAACCAGUUCAUUUAAGCCCAGCUGAGCUCUUUGUAUUUUACAAGCUAUUAUGGGCAACAGAUAAUAUUAAAAUGAAUAUUGAAAAUAUUAGAAUUGCUCUGUUUCCCUCCUUACUCCUGAGCAAGCAAGAGCACAUUUGUUGUCCUCCUUGCAUUCGGAGGAGAACACGAGUAAAUUCAAACGCUUUUAAGCAGUGUGAUUGAUGUAUUUCAUCUCACAGCUAUGUGAUCUUCUGUCUUUUCACCAUC